UACGAAGGGGGCUAGCGUUGUUCGGAAUUACUGGGCGUAAAGCGUGCGCAGGCGGCUUCUCAAGUCAGGGGUGAAAGCCCAGAGCUCAACUCUGGAAUUGCCUUUGAGACUGAGUGGCUUGAGUACGGGAGAGGUGAGUGGAAUUCCCAGUGUAGAGGUGAAAUGCGUAGAGAUGUGGAGGAAUACCGAUGGCGAAGGCAGCCCCCUGGGCCAAUACUGACGCUCAUGCACGAAAGCGUGGGGAGCAAACAGG
rnacentral:rRNA from 1 species